ensembl:snRNA U6 U6 spliceosomal RNA
GUGUUCGCUUCAGCAGCACAUAUGCUAAAAUUGGAAUGAUACAGAGAAGAUUAGCAUGGCCCCUGUGCAAGGAUGACAUGUAAAUUCAUGCAGCGUUCCAAAUUUUU